rnacentral:rRNA from 1 species
UUGAACGCUGGCGGCAUGCCUUACACAUGCAAGUCGAACGGCAGCACGGAGCUUGCUCUGGUGGCGAGUGGCGAACGGGUGAGUAAUAUAUCGGAACGUACCCUGGAGUGGGGGAUAACGUAGCGACAGUUACGCUAAUACCGCAUACGAUCUACGGAUGAAAGUGGGGGAUCGCAAGACCUCAUGCUCUUGGAGCGGCCGAUCUCUGAUUAUCUAGUUGGUAGGUUAAAAGCCUACCAAGGCAUCGAUCAGUAGCGGGUCUGAGAGGGCGACCAGCCACACUGGAACUGAGACACGGUCCAGACUCCUACGGGAGGCAGCAGUGGGGAAUGUUGGACAAUGGGCGAAAGCCUGAUCCAGCAAUGCCGCGGGAGUGAAGAAGGCCUUCGGGUUGUAAAG